UGAGCAAUCUGCCCUUCUCAUCGGAAUAAGCGUUGGAAACGACGUCUAAUGCCGAAUACGACCUCCUUUCGCAUGAUCGGAGGUGGAAAGCUCCGGCGGAGAAGGAUGAGCUCGCGGCCUAUCAGCUUGUUGGGUGGGGUCAUGGCUCACCAAGGCGACGACGGGUAGCUGGUCUGAGAGGACGACCAGCCACACGUGGGACUGAGACACGGCCCAGAUCCCGUAACGGGG
rnacentral:rRNA from 1 species